UCUCUCAUGCAGAUUGUGACGACUCAGCAGCUCUUUUGUGUGACUUCAAAGGUUUUUCAGUCCGUCAUCCUCAACUUCUGCUCCGUCGUCCUGGCUAAGAGGCUGACUGUGACUUGAGUUCUUUGUGCAAUGGUGGCAUUGGCUACAGCUGACGAGACAAUACCAGACCAGGGAACCUUGCAUCAAUACACCAGGAUGACGAGCAUAAAUUCCUUCGGACCUUGACUCAAUCAGAAGCAUGGAUUGGAGGCUGAGCUUGCCAAAUGUCGGCAAAUGCUGGGAUGACAUCGCCUGUAACACACUACUGUCAUCUGUGUGUGCAAAGUCUCUUUAGACUGCGGGCUGACUUGGACCCAUGCAAGCAGAAGACUAUGGAUGGAUGGAUAUCUAGCAACUGGAGAACAUAACACAGACAUUCUUUCAUGAAUGUAAUAAACAUAUUAAGC